UACACUGGAACAGGCCACGGAGGAGGAGGAGGAUGAUGAUGAUGAUGAUGCUGCUGCAUUUAGUGACGACGAGCCAGAAUACAUUUUUGUCCGUCGCCAACCAGUGGAGGAGACACCUGUGCCAAUGAUUUAUGGGGGCCCCAGACCGGGGCAAGAUAGGUGGGCUGGCCCAGAAGCGGGCAGGCAGCAGCCCACUUAUACAAGAGG